rnacentral:rRNA from 1 species
AGUCGAGCGGAGAUGAGGUGCUUGCACCUUAUCUUAGCGGCGGACGGGUGAGUAAUGCUUAGGAAUCUGCCUAUUAGUGGGGGACAACAUUCCGAAAGGAAUGCUAAUACCGCAUACGUCCUACGGGAGAAAGCAGGGGAUCUUCGGACCUUGCGCUAAUAGAUGAGCCUAAGUCGGAUUAGCUAGUUGGUGGGGUAAAGGCCUACCAAGGCGACGAUCUGUAGCGGGUCUGAGAGGAUGAUCCGCCACACUGGGACUGAGACACGGCCCAGACUCCUACGGGAGGCAGCAGUGGGGAAUAUUGGACAAUGGGGGGAACCCUGAUCCAGCCAUGCCGCGUGUGUGAAGAAGGCCUUAUGGUUGUAAAGCACUUUAAGCGAGGAGGAGGCUACUGAGACUAAUACUCUUGGAUAGUGGACGUUACUCGCAGAAUAAGCACCGGCUAACUCUGUGCCAGCAGCCGCGGUAAUACAGAGGGUGCGAGCGUUAAUCGGAUUUACUGGGCGUAAAGCGUGCGUAGGCGGCUUUUUAAGUCGGAUGUGAAAUCCCCGAGCUUAACUUGGGAAUUGCAUUCGAUACUGGGAAGCUAGAGUAUGGGAGAGGAUGGUAGAAUUCCAGGUGUAGCGGUGAAAUGCGUAGAGAUCUGGAGGAAUACCGGUGGCGAAGGCAGCCAUCUGGCCUAAUACUGACGCUGAGGUACGAAAGCAUGGGGAGCAAACAGGAUUAGAUACCCUGGUAGUCCAUGCCGUAAACGAUGUCUACUAGCCGUUGGGGCCUUUGAGGCUUUAGUGGCGCAGCUAACGCGAUAGGUAGACCGCCUGGGGAGUACGGUCGCAAGACUAAAACUCAAAUGAAUUGA